GACGAACGCUGGCGGCGUGCUCAACACAUGCCAGUCGAACGAAGAGCGAUGGAAGCUUGCUUCUAUCAAUCUUAGUGGCGAACGGGUGAGUAACGCGUAAUCAACCUGCCCUUCAGAGGGGGACAACAGUUGGAAACGACUGCUAAUACCGCAUACGAUCUAAUCUCGGCAUCGAGGAUAGAUGAAAGGUGGCCUCUACAUGUAAGCUAUCACUGAAGGAGGGGAUUGCGUCUGAUUAGCUAGUUGGAGGGGUAACGGCCCACCAAGGCGAUGAUCAGUAGCCGGUCUGAGAGGAUGAACGGCCACAUUGGGACUGAGACACGGCCCAGACUCCUACGGGAGGCAGCAGUGGGGAAUCUUCCGCAAUGGACGAAAGUCUGACGGAGCAACGCCGCGUGAGUGAUGACGGCCUUCGGGUUGUAAAGCUCUGUUAAUCGGGACGAAAGGCCUUCUUGCGAAUAGUGAGAAGGAUUGACGGUACCGGAAUAGAAAGCCACGGCUAACUACGUG
rnacentral:rRNA from 1 species